rnacentral:ncRNA from 1 species
UUCAUCUAGAGAGGUUGAGGGACUGGCCCAAUGAUACCUCAGCAACCAUUAAAUGUUUUAUAUUUAAUAAGGUGCUAAUUCCAGCAGAAUGAUUUCUGACAGAUGAA